CCUACGGGAGGCAGCAGUGAGGAAUAUUGGUCAAUGGACGAGAGUCUGAACCAGCCAAGUAGCGUGAAGGAUGACUGCCCUAUGGGUUGUAAACUUCUUUUAUAUGGGAAUAAAAUGUUCCACGUGUGGGAUUUUGUAUGUACCAUAUGAAUAAGGAUCGGCUAACUCCGUGCCAGCAGCCGCGGUAAUACGGAGGAUCCGAGCGUUAUCCGGAUUUAUUGGGUUUAAAGGGAGCGUAGGUGGAUUGUUAAGUCAGUUGUGAAAGUUUGCGGCUCAACCGUAAAAUUGCAGUUGAAACUGGCAGUCUUGAGUACAGUAGAGGUGGGCGGAAUUCGUGGUGUAGCGGUGAAAUGCUGAGAUAUCACGAAGAACUCCGAUUGCGAAGGUAGUUCACUGGACUGCAACUGACACUGAGGCUCGAAAGUGUGGGUAUCAAACAGGAUUAGAUACCCGAGUAGUC
rnacentral:rRNA from 1 species